AUUGAACGCUGGCGGCAUGCUUUACACAUGCAAGUCGAACGGCAGCACGGGCUUCGGCCUGGUGGCGAGUGGCGAACGGGUGAGUAAUAUAUCGGAACGUACCCAGAAGUGGGGGAUAACGUAGCGAAAGUUACGCUAAUACCGCAUACGAUCUAUGGAUGAAAGCAGGGGACCGCAAGGCCUUGUGCUCCUGGAGCGGCCGAUAUCUGAUUAGCUAGUUGGUGAGGUAAAGGCUCACCAAGGCGACGAUCAGUAGCUGGUCUGAGAGGACGACCAGCCACACUGGAACUGAGACACGGUCCAGACUCCUACGGGAGGCAGCAGUGGGGAAUUUUGGACAAUGGGCGCAAGCCUGAUCCAGCAAUGCCGCGUGAGUGAAGGAGGCCUUCGGGUUGUAAAGCUCUUUUGUCAGGGAAGAAACGGUAGAGGCUAAUAUCCUUUGCUAAUGACGGUACCUGAAGAAUAAGCACCGGCUAACUACGUG
rnacentral:rRNA from 1 species